UUGCUUUCUCAACCUUCAAUUCAUGAUUCCUGGGAAAGCCGUAGAAAAAAGAGAAUCCGUGGAAGGAUGAAGACAAUUUCUCCUGAAUGCCAAAUGGUGAGGCUGUGCCAGGAAUUUCUGAUGAAAUUCCCUGUGCUGUGAAAGUGUUCCUCCUCUGUGAUAUCUGGAAACCAUUGGUGAAAUUCCUUCUUAUUGUACCGAGGUUCAUUCCACAGUAUGAGUCUUCAAUUGGUGAAAUAUCAUGGCCUAUCACCUGUGUUCUGCAGUUUACCAUUUCACCCCAUGCCUGUUGCCACACUCUGAUGAAGAAUACCAAAUAAGUCAUCCAUGGAGAUAGAAGCUAAUUUAGGAGGAGCCCCUCUUGCCAGCUGGAGUUCUGCUUGGAGUAAUAUGUACUGCUACUUCCAUAUUCUGAUGAUCCAAAGAAGCGAUGGAAUCUCAAAGGAAGUUGCCCAUCUUCUGUCUCAUGACCAGCCCUACUCACAUCCUUCAGCUCUCUAAAUUAGCAAGUAGUAGUAUAUUCUGACAGUAUCUUCUCUACCUAUUUUCUGUGACACAGACUACCUGCUGAGGUAGAAAGUUUGAUUUUUGGUUCUUCUUCAAUCAAGAGACAUCUGCAAGUGCCUUAGAAGAAAUUGCUUGUAAAGGGUGCAUUUCCAGUCUCAAGCUCUGUGUUUUCCCACUCUUAAUAACUUUUGCCAAGCCUAGUGCUAGCCUAUGGUAGGAGCUCAGGCAAUAUUUAAGUGAAUCAGUUAAUUUAAUCAAAUUAUAUGAGAUACAUACAGAAAAUGGGGGGGUGAAAAAUGGACAGAAGAGGGGAGUGAAACACUGAUCAGGUUACCAUCUCUCUUCGGAAUCAGCAUAUACUUUCCAUCAAGCAAAAUUCUGUGCUUUCCAUAUUUAUUUAUCUUCCAGCCUCAGUCAGGACUACUGUUCUCCAACUCAUUCAUCCUCUCACUUGAUGACUCUUGUGAAUUGUUAAUCUCAUAGUAUCUUUUUAACUGGUCCUUUGUCUCCAGUCUCUCAGCAACUCAGUCUAUACACAAUUAUCAGAUCACCUUUCCUAAAGAAAUUUGUUAUAAAUUUACUUAUUUGUUCAAAAUAUUGUGACUGGCUCUUUCUUGUCUAUAAAAUAAAUCACACUCUUUGCUUUGUGGUUUUAACAUUUUAAAAAUAAAUUAACAUUAGAUGUUUUCUCCCUU